rnacentral:rRNA from 1 species
CCUACGGGAGGCAGCAGUGAGGAAUAUUGGUCAAUGGACGAAAGUCUGAACCAGCCAAGUAGCGUGAAGGAUGACUGCCCUCUGGGUUGUAAACUUCUUUUAUAUGGGAAUAAAAUGUUCCACGUGUGGGAUGUUGUAUGUACAAUAUGAGUAAGAGUCGGCGAACACCGUGCCAGCAGCCGCGGUAAUACGGAGGAUCCGCGCGUUAUCCGGAUUUAUUGGGUUGAAAGGGAGCGUAGGUGGAGUGUUAAGUCAGUUGUGAAAGUUUGCGGCGCAACCGUAAAAUUGCAGUUGAAACUGGCAGUCUUGAGUACAGUAGAGGUGGGCGGAAUUCGUGGUGUAGCGGUGAAAUGCUUAGAUAUCAUGAAGAACUCCGAUUGCGAAGGCAGCUCACUGGACUGCAACUGACACUGAGGCUCGAAAGUGUGGGUAUCAAACAGGAUUAGAUACCCGAGUAGUC